UGACAGGUCCUGCCCGGUGUGUGGAUGUCUUUGAUUAGUCAGAAGGCUUUGGAAAUAGAAGUGUGAUGUGUCAUAUAGGAAAAGAUGGAUAAAAGCACAUGGCUUCAGGCCUGCUAAUGCAUGCAGCAGCUGCACAACAGCUGACAGAGUCCCGGUGAAACAGCAGCAGUAAAACACCUUCACUGAGGCCCCUAUACUGAGGAAUGCACACACACACACACUCGGUUGCCAUGGUAACUCACAGCUGUCAAGUGCAUCAGGCCACACCCGAGUGAACACGAGCAAAUACACACCAAUGAGGUGAAAAACUGAUGAGCUGACACUGGAGAAUACUCUCACACAGAUAAGGUCUCUCUCCCGUUCUCUCUUUCUCCCACACACACAGAUAUAGCAACAGACUCCAGAGCAGAUCCGCUUGGGUUGACAGCUAUGAAUAACAGAAAACUGAGUGACAGACAGGAUGGUGAUAACGUUGGUAGUUCUGUGAGAUCAGGGGUCAGAAACAUGAACAAUUCCAGCUGGCAUCAGAUUUCACCUUGUCCUUUAACCUGGACAAGCUGGUGAGGAAUUAGUCUCGCGUAACCAGACCUUCAGACUGACGGCAGAUGGUCUGGACUCCAUAGCUGCUCAACAGGCCGUCUGACUGACAUAUAAAACAACCAAUUACAGCUCAGCUUUGUUUCCAGGCAGACCAUUAAAACAAUCUACAUACACACAUUCCAUAAAAAGUGUAAAAUUCAUCAUAUCGACUUCAAAACCUCUUCCAAUUUUGUGUGCCUUAUGCAUCAGAUGUUCAGCCAAUAGUCCUGGGGCGUGACAUCUACUAAAGCUGAGACUAGCAAGGAAUCAAUACAGUCCACAUAAUUUUUCACAGCAACUGGAUCUGUUAGGUCACAUCUCAUCUUUUAAACUCAGUUUCUUUUAAAACUGACAUAAAAAUGUAUAAAAACAAGUUAAAUAUGACACUUCAGUAUGUUCAAAAUAGUUAUUUCCUGUGCAACUGUAUCUUCCUCUGACCAACAUGUCCAAACAGUCUAAAAAAAGCUCUAAAACUGCACAAAAAAUAUAUAAAUAAAUAACUGGACAAAGCUGUACUGUGAUAAAGCAAAAAAAAAUUUUUUUUUUAAAUCAGCUGCUUUUGAGAACCAUGUUAAGAAACUACACACUAAACUUUAAAGAAUUCCCUAACAAUAUAUAUUCACCUCUUUAUCACAGAUCAGUGUAACUGUUCUUUAUGUAUUAUUACAACAGCAUCAUCAUCUUGAGAUGUUUUAUUUUUUAUGUUAUUUUCAAGUUUAUUAACUUUCGUUGUUGUCAUCA